rnacentral:rRNA from 1 species
UGGGGAAUAUUGCGCAAUGGGCGAAAGCCUGACGCAGCCACGCCGCGUGAGUGACGAAGGCCUUCGGGUUGUAAAGCUCUGUCGGGAGGGACGAAAGGAGCAAUCCUUGACGGUACCUCGCAAGAAAGCACCGGCUAACUCUGUGCCAGCAGCCGCGGUAAUACAGAGGGUGCAAGCGUUGCUCGGAUUUACUGGGCGUAAAGCGUACGCAGACGGCGAGAAGGGUCGGACGUGAAAGCCCCGGGCUCAACCCGGGAAAUGCGUCCGAAACCGCCUUGCUUGAGUAUGGGAGAGGGAAGCGGAAUUCCUGGUGUAGAGGUGAAAUUCGUAGAUAUCAGGAGGAACACCGGCGGCGAAGGCGGCUUCCUGGCCCAUUACUGACGUUCAGGUACGAAAGCGUGGGUAGCAAACAG